GAUAGCUCAGUCGGUAGAGCAUGAGAUUCUUAAUCUAAGGGUUGCGGGUUCGAGACCCACGUUGAGCA